rnacentral:misc_RNA from 1 species
UGGAAGUAAAAGUCGUAACAAGGUUUCCGUAGGUGAACCUGCGGAAGGAUCAUUAAAAAAUGGUACUCUAUUUGUGAGUGCAUUAAUAAUCCAUCCUACCCUUUGUGAAUUUGUUGUAUGAAAUAAUUUUUUUUUAAAAAAUUAUUGAUGUCUUUCCCUGUUGAAAAGUUUGGUCGUAAGACUUGGAUUUUCACAGGGAUAGUCAUAUUUUUAAAGACCUUUUUUUAAAUAAAACUUUUUGUAUUCAUUUGUCUAAAAUUAUUUUUAUAAUAUAAAAACAACUUUUGACAAUGGAUCUCUUGGUUCUCGCAACGAUGAAGAACGCAGCAAAAUGCGAUAAGUAGUGUGAAUUGCAGAAUACGUGAAUCAUCGAAUCUUCGAACGCAUAUUGCACUUUUUUAGUUUACUAAAAAAGUAUGUCUGUUUGAGUAUCAGUAAAAUAUUCUCAUAAAAACUAUUGUUUUUAUGGUUAUGAGUGUUUUACAACGAUAACAAGUUGUUUCACUUUAAAUUUUUUUAAAAUUGCAAUUUUUCUAUUUAAUUAAAAUUGGAUAAAAUUUUCCUGUAAAAAGGAAUAACUUAAACAAUUUUAAAUUGAAUUUAGAAUCCAAAUAAAGGAAAUUUAUUUACAAAAUAACUUGAUCUCAAAUCAGAUAAGAGUACCCGCUGAACUUAAGCAUAUCAAUAAGCGGAGGAAAAGAAACUAACAAGGAUUCCCUUAGUAACGGCGAGUGAAGCGGGAAGAGCUCAAAUUUGAAAUCUUCAAGGUUUUACCUUGACGAAUUGUAGUUUAAAGAAGUGUUUUCUGUUGAAGUUCGGUAAAAGUUCUUUGGAAUAGGACAUCAUAGAGGGUGAGAAUCCCGUAUUUGACGUUAUUUUCAGCUGUGUGAUACACUUUCAAAGAGUCGGAUUGUUUGGGAAUGCAGUCCAAAAUGGGUGGUAAAUUUCAUCUAAAGCUAAAUAUUGGCGAGAGACCGAUAGCGAACAAGUACCGUGAGGGAAAGAUGAAAAGAACUUUGAAAAGAGAGUUAAACAGUACGUGAAAUUGUCAAAAGGGAAGCGUUUGACACCAGUGUUGUUUUCUCGAAAAUCAAUUAAAAUGUUUGAUUUUGUGUUGUAUUGACUUAAACGCUUUCUGCACUUUUUUCAUGUCUUUUUAAUGCACUUUUCGUUAACAAGUCAACAUCAGUUUCUUUUGUUGUAAAAGGUCAUUGGGAAGGUGGCUUUCUUUUCGGAGAAAGUGUUUAUAGCCUUUGACUCCUGCAAUCGGAGAGACUGAGGUCUGCAGCGUAGAUCCUUCUGGAUUAGAUUCAUUUGUGCUAAGUUAUAGCUUUUAUAGACAACUUGUUGACUAUAUUUAGUCUUGUAGCUUACUCGCUUAUGCAAUUUUACCUACGC